GAAAAAAUAGGAUGAAUAUUAUAUUUAAAUGAAACAACCAAAAUAAAACACCUCAUGAAAUUUGACAAAAAAUUUAACGUUAAACAAUAUUCACUUUAUAACCCAAUAGCCAGAGAAUGGCUCAACAUAUACAAGUUCAUAGUCAUCUAAAUGGAUUUCAUGAGCACAACCGCAUGAAAAUGGAUUUUAUUUGACAAAUGAACCAGAAAAAAAAAAGGAAUGUAAAAUUCAAGAUAAUGACUACGACGAGCAGAACUAUAUUUGGGGGAAUUUUCCUUUGCUUUCUCAUUAGGGUAAGCAACAGAAAUAAUGAAUGUUCGGUUCCAGUUACAAAGCAUAUUCUCUUAAGUUUCAUAAUUACAAGAGAUAUCAAGGAAUUACUCAAUACACAAGUUAAAUUUAGAGUGUGUUUGAGAUGCACAGAAUCAGGUACAUCCACAUCAGCCGCCAAUCCUUCUUUUUUCAUUUUUUUUUUUUGAAAAUCCAUGGAUAUGGUAAAACAUGAAUCUGGUCUCAUCAGAAAUCCAUGAAUUUGGUAAAAUAUGGAUCAUGUCAAAAUUCAUGAAUCUGGUAAAAUAUAGAUUUGAUCUCGCUUCAUUAAUGUAUAUCAAAUGAACUUUGAAUCCAUCAUUGUUUCGGUAUGUACAAUAGUGUAGUGGUUGAUCCCUUGUGCUUAUCAAAAAACAUGAAGCUGAUUUCACUGAAAAAGGGGAAGAAGAAUGGCAGUUGCUUUUGAUUUCAUCUUGGUCUCACUAGAAAAUACGGAUCUGGACAGAUGUGGCUCUAUCAGAGAAGAUAAAGGUGAGAACAUGGUGAGGAAGCAUUAGAGUUUGGAUGGUGUUCCGGUGGAUUUCUAUCGGAACAGUAAGAGUGGAGUAGGUGUAUCUAACUUAGAGACAUGUACUAAUGUAUCUAGUUGGGUAUCUUAAAUACAUGUAAAUCACGCUUCAAAUAUAGUAUAUCUAAGAUAAAUUACACCUAACUACUUUAAAAUUAUUCCAGAUACAAAAAGCUUAAAAUUUUUUCAGAUACACAGAUCUAGAUACACAAUCUCAAAUAUAUAGCUAGAUACACAAUUCCAAACUCCACGUGAUUUAGAUAUACAGGCCUAAGAUACAUGCAAUUUACCAUUACCCAGUAUGUUUUGUAAUUAGUUUAAAGUUAAGUUAAGGGGCCUUUGUAGAUAGCUCCUUAUGUUUGACUAUUUCUGUUAUUUGUCGUUCUCAUUAUUAAUAUGAUAUUGAUAAAUGUAGAAGGCUUAGAUCCUGAUUACUUGAAGAAAAGAAUAUUUCAAAAAGCACAUAAUGUGUCUAAAGUAUGUGUAUCUACGAUCUAAAGAUUGUGCAUCUGAACAUGUGUAUAUGUGAUUAUGUAUCUAAAAUAUUUUAAAGUUGUGUAUCUGAAAUAAUUUUAGUUCUGUAUAGCUUAAAUAUUUUAAGUCUUUUAUCUUGAAUAGUUUAAGACUCUGUAUCUUAGAAAUUUUAUGGCCUGUGUAUCUUUAUAUUUUUAAUACCUAA
rnacentral:lncRNA from 1 species